rnacentral:tRNA from 1 species
GGACUGCUAUACACGCCUGCGCACAAAAACGCCUGACUCUUAAUCAGUAGGUUCUCGGUUCGACCCCGAGGCGGGCCACCA